rnacentral:rRNA from 1 species
CGAACGGGUGAGUAACGCGUGAAUAACCUGACUCAAAGAGGGGGAGUAACAACGGGAAACUGUUGCUAAUACCGCAUGAGACCACAACACCGCAUGAUGAAGGGGUCAAAGAUUUAUCGCUUUGAGAGGGGUUCGCGUCCCAUUAGGUAGUUGGAGGGGUAACGGCCCACCAAGCCAACGAUGGGUAGCCGAGCUGAGAGGCUGAUCGGCCACACUGGAACUGGGACACGGUCCAG